rnacentral:rRNA from 1 species
AGAGUUUGAUCAUGGCUCAGGAUGAACGCUGGCGGCGUGCCUAAAACAUGCAAGUCGAGCGGUAAGGCCCCUUCGGGGGUACACGAGCGGCGGACGGCUGAGUAACACGUAGGAACGUACCCCAAACUGAGGGAUAACUGCCCGAAAGGGUAGCUAAUACCGCAUAUGCUCUACGGAGUAAAGCUACGGCGGUUUGGGAACGGCCUGCGCAUGAUUAGCUUGUUGGUGAGGUAACAGCUCACCAAGGCGACGAUCAUUAGCUGGUCUGAGAGGAUGAUCAGCCAGACUGGGACUGAGACACGGCCCAGACUCCUACGGGAGGCAGCAGUUAGGAAUUUUCCACAAUGGGGGCAACCCUGAUGGAGCAACGCCGCGUGCAGGAUGAAUGCCUUCGGGUUGUAAACUGCUUUUAUCUGUGACGAUUAUGACGGUAGCAGAUGAAUAAGGAUCGGCUAACUCCGUGCCAGCAGCCGCGGUCAUACGGAGGAUCCAAGCGUUAUCCGGAAUUACUGGGCGUAAAGAGUUGCGUAGGUGGCAGCGUAAGUUGGUAGUGAAAGCGUGCGGCUCAACCGCAUACACAUUACCAAAACUGCGAAGCUAGAGGACGAGAGAGGUACCUGGAAUUCCUAGUGUAGGAGUGAAAUCCGUAGAUAUUAGGAGGAACACCGAUGGCGUAGGCAGGGUACUGGCUCGUUCCUGACACUAAGGCACGAAAGCGUGGGUAGCAAACGGGAUUAGAUACCCCAGUAGUCC